GCUCUCGCUUCGCUGGGAUUUGUUUUAGACGUCACUGGUAUGAAGUCACUGGUAUGGAGUCUCUGAUCUCUGCUUCACUGGGAUUUGUUUUAGACGUCACUGGUAUGAAGUCACUGGUAUGGAGUCUCUGGUUUGUUGACUAGCUCUCUGCUUCACUGGGAUUUCUUUUGAUGGCAAUGGCCCAGGUUCUGCAAGUGCCAUGCAAUUUCUUCUGACUAUUACAAUCAGGUAUUCCAGUUGCCUGGUUUACAUCUUUCAUAGUUACCAUGUUGUUUGAAACGUCUUGCAAACAGCACAGACACACUCUUUGCGCAAUUAGGCAAGUUAACGCGUCUGUCUCAACUACUCAUCCGAUCAUAAAAAGUAAU